UACGUAGGGUGCAAGCGUUGUCCGGAAUUAUUGGGCGUAAAGAGCUCGUAGGCGGUCUGUCGCGUCUGCUGUGAAAACUCGGGGCUUAACCCCGGGCCUGCAGUGGGUACGGGCAGACUAGAGUGCGGUAGGGGAGACUGGAAUUCCUGGUGUAGCGGUGAAAUGCGCAGAUAUCAGGAGGAACACCGAUGGCGAAGGCAGGUCACUGGGCCGCAACUGACGCUGAGGAGCGAAAGCAUGGGGAGCGAACAGG
rnacentral:rRNA from 1 species